GCCCAUAUAGCUCAGUCGGUAGAGCACUUCCUUGGUAAGGAAGAGGUCACCGGUUCGAUUCCGGUUGUGGGCACCA
rnacentral:tRNA from 1 species